GAAUAUUAGUCAAUGCUCGAAAGAGUGAACUAGCUAACUGAAAUCAAUAAUAAUAAUUGAUAACAUAAGGGAAAAUAAUGAUAUUACCUUAUUAUAAGUGUCGUCCAAAUCUGGUGCCAGAAGACUCGGUAAGGCCAGAGACACAAACGUUAAUCGUCUUAAUCAGGCGUAAAGGGUUUGUAGGCGGCUUUAAAAUUUACUUAUAAAAAAAUAAAUAAUAAGUAAAAAAUAAAAGCUAGAAUCAAAUAGAGGAUAUAUGAAAGAAUGUUUAGAGUAGGUCUGAUAUCCUUAGAUACUAAGUAGAAUAUUAAAGGCGAAAGCUUUUUUCCAUUAAUGAUUGACGCUCAGAAACGAAGGUGAGGAUAGGAAAUAGGAUUAGAUACCCAGAAUACCCCUCUCUGUCAACGAUGAAUGGUAGUUAUUAGUAAAAAAUAUUAAUGGCAAUGUUAACACGAUAACCAUUCCGCCUUGUGAGUAUAACUGCAAAGUCGAAAACAAAAAAAUUAGUCGGUUUCGGAGCAAACGAAGUGAAGCAUGUUAUUUAAUU
rnacentral:rRNA from 1 species